GGGUGUAGCUCAACUGGUAGAGCGGCGGUCUCCAAAACCGCAGGCCGUGGGUUCAAGUCCUACCGCCC
rnacentral:tRNA from 1 species